ACCAGUUACUGCUUCUGACCAGAUCAGGCAAACAGUGAAGGACUUCAGUUACUGUGCAAGAUGAGAGGUUCACUGUUACUGCUGGAGUCCACAGACGGAAAUGGAUAUGAUCAACUAAGCCAACAUGAUACAGACAUUAUUGACAGAGCAAUAAAAGCAGCCAAUUAGAGACAUGGAAAAACCAAACACCUUGAUUUUGCCUCCAUUUUAAGAGUAGAUUCUGCUAAGCGCAUGCUUAAUGUGUUAUUAAAACCCACCACAUGUGACAGGGCAGAACCGUUUGUCCAUCGGAAAGACUGUAAAAUCCAAAAUCCAAAGGCUACACCUCAAGUUUCUUGCAUUGAUUGUCGGGGAGAGAUGACCUGUUUCUCUCUCAGAGAACAAGAAAAGAUUAAACAAACUAUAUCCAAGUGUUUGAAUUACCUAAAGAGAUUCCAUAUUUCUGGGGAGGCAUAUCCUUUGACACAUAAAUGAGCAACAAACUGGAUGUCUGGGAUGCAUCUGAGAAAUAAAAAUAAUCAAGGAUCUUUGAAACUGGCUAAACAACUAAUGAAAUGUACCUUAUAAAACUGACCUCGGGCCAAGAAUUUAAUUAUGAAGAUUAAUGUGUAUUUUCAUAAUAGUUUUCAUAAUAUGUUUCAGUGUAAUUAAGUAAUUUUGAGAGAAAUAUGGAAAAUAUAGUAGCCUUCUUUAGUAUGUCCUAGUGCUGAAUAACAAGACAAAUUAAUAAUUGUUUAAAAAUAGUUUUUAAAAUGUCUAAAUAUUCUUCAUAGAAAACAAUGUUAAAUUGUCAUGAAUUUUCAUGAAUAAAAUCUUGAUCUUUAGACAAGUUUUUGGCACUGAAUUUGAGGGGUCCAGGAUCUUGAAGAGAUCUGUAAACUGCAAAAGAGAUCUGUCCUGCAGUGAGAUGCUGGUCGCUUAUUCAAAACAAAGGCGUAGCUUGAUGAUGCCUUGACUUCGUGGAAUCAUGGGAG